rnacentral:rRNA from 1 species
UACAGAGGUCUCAAGCGUUGUUCGGAUUCAUUGGGCGUAAAGGGUGUGUAGGUGGCGCCGUAAGUCGGGUGUGAAAUUUCGGAGCUUAACUCCGAAACUGCAUUCGAUACUGCGGUGCUUGAGGACUGGAGAGGAGACUGGAAUUCAUGGUGUAGCAGUGAAAUGCGUAGAGAUCAUGAGGAAGACCAGUGGCGAAGGCGACUACCUGGCCUGUUCUUGACGCUGAGGCGCGAAAGCUAGGGGAGCAAACGGG